rnacentral:misc_RNA from 1 species
AAGUCGUAACAAGGUUUCCGUAGGUGAACCUGCGGAAGGAUCAUUAAAGAGACAUUGCCCUUCGGGGUAUACCUCCCACCCAUUUUAUUAUACCUUUGUUGCUUUGGCAGACCCGGCUUCGGCCCACCGGCUCUGGCUGGUCAGUGUCUGCCAGAGGACCUAAAACUCUGUUUGUUAAUGUUGUCUGAGUACUAUAUAAUAGUUAAAACUUUCAACAACGGAUCUCUUGGUUCUG